UCCCUGGUGGUCCAGUGGUUAAGACUCUGUACUUCCACUGCAAAGGGCAUGGGUUCAAUCCCUGGUCAGGGAA
rnacentral:tRNA from 1 species